GGUUACUGCUAUCGGUGUUCGCCUAAGCCAUGCGAGUCAUAUGUUCGUAAGAACAUGGCGUACUGCUCAGUAACACGUGGAUAACCUGCCCUUGGGUCCGGCAUAACCCCGGGAAACUGGGGAUAAUUCCGGAUAACGCACAUAUGCUGGAAUGCUUUAUGCGUAAAAUGGAUUCGUCUGCCCAAGGAUGGGUCUGCGGCCUAUCAGGUAGUAGUGGGUGUAAUGUACCUACUAGCCUACGACGGGUACGGGUUGUGAGAGCAAGAGCCCGGAGAUGGAUUCUGAGACAUGAAUCCAGGCCCUACGGGGCGCAGCAGGCACGAAAACUUUACAAUGCGGGAAACCGUGAUAAGGGGACACCGAGUGCCAGCAUCCUAUGCUGGCUGUCCGGGUGUGUAAAAUACACCUGUUAGCAAGGGCCGGGCAAGACCGGUGCCAGCCGCCGCGGUAACACCGGCGGCCCGAGUGGUGAUCGUGAUUAUUGGGUCUAAAGGGUCCGUAGCCGGUUUGGUCAGUCCUCCGGGAAAUCUGACAGCUUAACUGUUAGGCUUUCGGAGGAUACUGCCAGACUUGGAACCGGGAGAGGUAAGAGGUACUACAGGGGUAGGAGUGAAAUCUUGUAAUCCCUGUGGGACCACCUGUGGCGAAGGCGUCUUACCAGAACGGGUUCGACGGUGAGGGACGAAAGCUGGGGGCACGAACCGGAUUAGAUACCCGGGUAGUCCCAGCCGUAAACGAUGCUCGCUAGGUGUCAGGCAUGGCGCGACCGUGUCUGGUGCCGCAGGGAAGCCGUGAAGCGAGCCACCUGGGAAGUACGGCCGCAAGGCUGAAACUUAA
rnacentral:rRNA from 1 species